AACUCUCAACCCCCCUAUUUUGUAAUGAAAUGGGCGUGGGCUUGGAUUAUGGUUGUCUGUCGGCGUAAUUGCCGGCUCAACUGAAAUACACGAGCAACCCUAUUGAAAUAGACGGUUUGACUUGGCGUAAUAAUUAUUUCGCUAAGGACGUCUUCUUCAAAUAUAAGAGGUGCUUCUAAUGCGCUUUAUAGCACUUUAAGC
rnacentral:misc_RNA from 1 species